UACGUAGGGGGCUAGCGUUGUCCGGAAUCAUUGGGCGUAAAGAGCGUGUAGGCGGUCCGGUAAGUCCGCUGUGAAAGUCGGGGGCUCAACCCUCGAAUGCCGGUGGAUACUGUCGGGCUAGAGUGCGGAAGAGGCGAGUGGAAUUCCUGGUGUAGCGGUGAAAUGCGCAGAUAUCAGGAGGAACACCUAUUGCGAAGGCAGCUCGCUGGGACGUAACUGACGCUGAGGAGCGAAAGCGUGGGGAGCGAACAGG
rnacentral:rRNA from 1 species